AUGAAUUGCCUCAGCUGGAACUGUCGGGGAGCGGCCAACAAACCGACAGUUCAUGAUUUGGUGGGCCUUGCGAGGACCGUCAAAGCUAAAUUGGUAUUUCUUAGUGAAACUAGAGUUAAAGCUGAAAAAGUCCGUCGGUUGAGAGGUAGACUGGGUCUAAGGGGUUUCGCAGGUUGUGACAGUAAUGGUCUUAGUGGUGGUUUGGCUCUUUUUUGGUGUGAUCAAAUU
rnacentral:rRNA from 1 species